GAUGAAGAACGCAGCGAAAUGCGAUAAGUAGUGUGAAUUGCAGAAUUCAGUGAAUCAUCGAAUCUUUGAACGCACAUUGCGCCCCUUGGUAUCCCGAGGGGCAUGCCUGUUCGAGCGUCAUUUCACCACUCAAGCCUGGCUUGGUGUUGGGCGACGUCCUCUUUGGGGACGCGCCUCGAAACGCUCGGCGGCGUGGCACCGGCUUUAAGCGUAGCAGAAUCUUUCGCUUUGGAAGUCGGGGCCCCGUCUGCCGGAAGACCUGCUCGCAAGGUUGACCUCGGAUAAGGCAGGGAUACCCGCUGAACUUAAGCAUAUCAUAAGCGGAGGA
rnacentral:misc_RNA from 1 species